rnacentral:misc_RNA from 1 species
CAAUUGCUUUGCUUUUGCUUUACAAUCCCCGGCCUAGCCUUUCCAAUUUUUUCCUUCAUUGACUUGUUCAAUUAUUGCCAUCAACGAAGAAGGCAAGAAGCAAUCCCUAGAUGCUAGCACUUUUUAUAAUUUGGAGUUGGAUGCGCAGAGUUGACAAACAUGACAUCAGUUUAAUGGGUUGGGUGGCCUAACCACCCAUUGAAACCUUUGCUUUGCUUUGAAUGGUGGAUUAAGC